rnacentral:lncRNA from 1 species
UGUGUGUGUGUUGUGUGUGUGUGUGUGUGUGUGUGUUGUGUGUGUGUGUGUGUGUGUGUUGUGUGUGUGUGUGUUGUGUGUGUGCGUGCUUGAGAGAGAGAGAGAGGAGAGAGAGAGAGAGAGAGAGAGAGAGAGAGAGAGAGAGAGAGAGAGAGAGAGAGAGAGAGGAGAGAGAGAGAGAGAUGUGGGUUUGCCCAUGAGAUAUGUGCCAAUGACACUGAAAAAUGACGAAUGUUUACAUUCUCAAAAAACUCCUCUUAUUGCACAUUUCAAGGAAUAAUGCUGACGGUAGCUCAGCAGUAACAUUCAGUCCAUGCAGGUGACCAAAGACUCAAUAUGCUCUGGCCCAUGUUCAUAUCAAGCAACAGUCCAUGAAUUAUUCUUGAGCAGCACCAACAAGGUACUGAGGUGCAUUCUGUGUCCUUCUAGAAGUCCCUAAGGAGGAAACGCUGCAGGAACUUCCUGAAAGGAGACAGCAGGCUGUUGCUGAGGUGAGCUUGCCUGUCUUUCCCUGAGGAACACAUGUGCUUUCUUAGAUAUUUCCAAUCACUUCUGUUCUGUGUCCUUCUAGAAGUCCCUAAGGAGGAAACGCUGCAGGAACUUCCUGAAAGGAGACAGCAGGCUGUUGCUGAGGUUGCCGCAGGAGUACAGGAGAAAGAUGUCCCUAAGGAAGAAAAGCUGCGUGCCCUUCCUGAAAGGAAGCAGAAGGCUGUGGCUGAGGUGGCCGUAGGAGCACGGGAGAAAGAUGUCCCUAAGGAAGAAAAGCUGCGUGCCCUUCCUGAAAGGAAGCAGAAGGCUGUGGCUGAGGUGGCCGUAGGAGCACGGGAGAAAGGUAUGUAUUCUGGAAACAGUUUCUUGCUGAGGAAAAUGUUUAGAUGGUGA